GAGGAGUCAUCACAGUUUGUAUUAUUUAAUGGAGAUAAAAGUAUCUAAACAAGAUAUAUAAACCAAAACAGAGUCCCGAGAACAAAGGAUCUUCGCUAAUCCAGAAGUCUCCAGCAUGCCUCAACGAGAAGCCUCGCGUCCUGCAUCUGAAAACCACAAAAUCCGCAUGGGUGAGAACCAGAGGUCCCCAGCACGGUAACAGCUUCCACAUAUAUAAUACAUAAUA
rnacentral:lncRNA from 1 species